rnacentral:lncRNA from 1 species
UUGAAUCUCACACAACAAUUAUGCUCUUUGUGAAAGCUGCUCACCUGUAGACACUUUGAUCUCUUAUUGUAACUUGCAGAUAUUCUCCAAGGACAUUUCGCAAUGGUGAUGCACUUAACCCUGAUCCAUUUUGGUUCAUUUGUAACAAUUUUCAAUUCCCUUCUUGAAACCUUUGAAUAAUUUUGGAUGACAUCUUUGAAAGUUUCUCCAUCUCUAAAAAGCAUCCCUAAACAUAAUUUUGGAUUUUCAUAGUUUGGAUUGUACACCGAAAACUUCUUUCUUCUCCUUGCACCAUGCUCAUGUUUCUCCUCAGAACUAGACUCCACUAUACUACAUGGUCAUUAGAUUCAAAGUAAUCUAUCUCAUAACCAUUUGCCUCUUGUGUACUUUUAUCAUGCCUUUCUUGGACUUCUACAUCCUCCCAAACAUCAUUUUCAAGUUCACAUGCCAUCCUCUCCCUAUUAGCAUCAAUGUUAUAAUUUUUUACAGAUUUUCCUCUAAAUCUUUUCAACUUAUCCCUAGCAGCUUGCAACAUCUCAUCCCCCUAACCAUUUGAAAGAUAUUUAACAUUAACCAUAUAAACUUCAUCAACAUAUUGCCAGUCAACAUCCUCCCUCUUACCAUCGGCCUCAAAAGCCCCUUGACCAACACCCUUACCAUCCUCCUCACAGUCCCCCUCAUUGGACCCUUCAAUAGCUCCCAAAACAACUGCCUCACCAGCUCCAAAAUCAUCAUUCUCAUAAACAUGUGAUGCAU